rnacentral:sRNA from 14 species
AACUCUUAGCGGUGGAUCACUCGGCUCGUGCGUCGAUGAAGAACGCGUCUUGUUCAAAUGAACAAUUUGAUUUCCACAAUACAUGAAUAAUGAGGUGAAUAAUAUAUUUCAAAGUGAGUAUCG